CACCAGAGAAAGGAGGUUAAACCUGUGAGGUUCUUGGUUUAAAAUGCAAUGUAGCCACUAAUGAGUUAUAGCUCAACAGUACUUAGUUAUUAGGUCUCAAACUCGAAUUUCAAUUGAAGCUAAUUGAAAAAAAAAAAAAAAUGCAAAGGAGACAUUCUGGCCCAACCAAAAAUGACCACUGAGAUCAACAAUACAAAAACCAUUAAUGCCACAAAUCAGACUACACUAUCUUCUGUAUAAUUCGUGAAA
rnacentral:misc_RNA from 1 species